rnacentral:misc_RNA from 1 species
GAUGAAGAACGUAGCGAAAUGCGAUAAGUAAUGUGAAUUGCAGAAUUCAGUGAAUCAUCGAAUCUUUGAACGCACAUUGCGCCCGCCAGUAUUCUGGCGGGCAUGCCUGUCCGAGCGUCAUUUCAACCCUCGAACCCCUCCGGGGGGUCGGCGUUGGGGAUCGGCCCUGCCUCUUGGCGGUGGCCGUCUCCGAAAUACAGUGGCGGUCUCGCCGCAGCCUCUCCUGCGCAGUAGUUUGCACACUNNCAUCGGGAGCGCGGCGCGUCCACAGCCGUUAAACACCCAACUUCUGAAAUGUUGACCUCGGAUCAGGUAGGAAUACCCGCUGAACUUAAGCAUAUCAAUAAGCGGAGGA